rnacentral:lncRNA from 1 species
CUCAAAUUCAUCUUUGGAGUUUGUUAAUUUGCUCACCAGCCCCUCAUACCCUUUAACUGAGUUUUUACAUUUGACCUCCUUUAUUUUUCUGGACCCCUGUGCUGGGGACAAUAAACAUGAGGAUUGUGUUCUCAUUUAGUUUUUUUUUUUUUUUUUUUUUGGUUUUGUUAGUUCUCCACAUGCUUUCUUCUCAGGUCAGUCACCAGAUGUAAGUUGCUAAUUAUCCACAGCUGUCUUCAUUUAAGCUAAUCAGCCUGCCUCUCCUUUUCAGCUCAUCCCUGUCAGGUUAUCUGCUGCUCUGUUAGUCUUUUUGGUUCAGCAUUGGGCAGAAGUUUGUUCAGAUUUGGGGAUUUCUCAAAUCCUUUGUCCUUUGCUUAAAGAUGGCAGGAAAUAUCUCUGACUCAAAUGCAUGCAGCUUUCAGAAGCUUGAUUUAGAUCAACUCUGCCCCACAAUGAAACAAAAGAAUUAUACUGGUGUUUUUGAACCCAAGAAUGCUGUGUGUAAAGCAGGUGUCCUCUGGCUGUGCUGGCCUCUUUGAAGGCUCCUCUGCCAUAAUGGAAUCACUCCAUACACUUCUUGGACGGAGCACGGAGACGCAGAAAUUCAGCACUGAUAAAGAUCCCUCUGACUCUCAUUUCAUAAGUCUUCCAUUAGAUACAAAGCUGCACAGAUUAGAUAUGUCACUCCUCCCCUAUCCCUGGAACACAAAAGUCCUCGCAAAAUUGAGAAAAAAAAAAGAUUUAAUUUAAAUGCUAUUCAAGUGUGGGUGAACAAAAAGGGGAAGAAUGCUUUCCCUUUUUUUUCCCUAAAAGUCAAGUUUUUCUUUAGAAAUCAGCAAACACACACAAAAAAGGAAAGUCAUAGGUCACCCACAAUUAAAGUUUAGUUCUCGUCUUUUUUAAGAAUGUUUUGUUUUAAGAUUUUGUUCCAUUAUCUAAAAAACACUUUAUAAUAGCCCCUAAUCACAAAAAUGUUUAUGACUUUUUCUCUGUGUUUUGAGUUUUUUUUAAUUGUUUGUGAUUGAAAUAGUGUCACUUGCAUGUAUGUGCCCUCUUGCUUUGCGCUUCCUCCUUCCUGUCUCUUUGAAUUUGCUAAAAUCUACUUUGCUCCAGAUGUUUCUUCUGCUUUUUUCCCCCCAGCAUUUUCGUCUUUUUAAUAUUCAAUUUGAUCAAAGUUUUAGAAUCUAAAACCCAAACCUGUGUGUCUGCUGUCAUUGUAUACUGUGGUUAAAAAAAAAUAACAUUCAGUUUUAGAACAGCAUGUGACUGCAACGUCAUUGCAACAAGCACAUUGGUUAAGUUUGGAGCUGUAUUUAUAGUUUGACCCAAAAAAAUAAAACCUGGUAAAACAAAUUCCCUUACAGCAG